rnacentral:rRNA from 1 species
AUUGAACGCUGGCGGCAGGCCUAACACAUGCAAGUCGAACGAGUGGCGGACGGGUGAGUAAUGUCUGGGAAACUGCCUGAUGGAGGGGGAUAACUCCUGGAAACGGUAGCUAAUACCGCAUACAAUCAGAUGUGCACAGAUCGGAUUAGCUAGUUGUUGGGGUAACGGUUCACCAAGUCGACGAUCCCUAGCUGGUGUGAGAGGAUGACCAGCCACACGGGAACUGAGACACGGUCCAGACUCCUACGGGAGGCAGCAGUGGUGAAUAUUGUACAAUGGGCGAAAGCAUGAUGCAGCCAUGCCGCGUGUAUGAAGAAGGCCUUCGGGUUGUAAAGUACUUUCAGCGGGGAGGCGUUACCCGCAGAAGAAGCACCGGCUAACUCCGUGCCAGCCGCCGCGGUAAUAC